AAAGGGUGUAUGAACACAAAGAACCGCUAAUUCCAUGCCCUGGGGUUUAAUUCCCCAGACCCUUUA
rnacentral:tRNA from 1 species